AGGACGAACGCUGGCGGCGUGCUUAACACAUGCAAGUCGAGCGGAAAGGCCCUUCGGGGUACUCGAGCGGCGAACGGGUGAGUAACACGUGAGCAACCUGCCCUUAGCUCCGGGAUAGCUCCGGGAAACCGGAAUUAAUACCGGAUACGACCACGGCCGACAUCUGCUGUGGUGGAAAGGAUUCCGGCUAAGGAUGGGCUCGCGGCCUAUCAGCUAGUUGGUGGAGUAACGGCCCACCAAGGCGACGACGGGUAGCCGGCCUGAGAGGGCGACCGGCCACACUGGGACUGAGACACGGCCCAGACUCCUACGGGAGGCAGCAGUGGGGAAUAUUGCGCAAUGGGCGAAAGCCUGACGCAGCGACGCCGCGUGGGGAUGAAGGCCUUCGGGUUGUAAACCCUUUCAGCAGGGACGAAGCGAAAGUGACGGUACCUGCAGAAGAAGCGCCGGCUAACUACGUGCCAGCAGCCGC
rnacentral:rRNA from 1 species